AUCAAGAUUACUACACGCAUAUAUCAUGACCAAAAUUACUUAAACAUUAGAUCAUUAGUAUAAAGAUUGAGCCAUUUUCGCAUGGCUAAAUAUAUACAAAUGUCAAGACCAACCAAAACAAGUGCUAGCCUAUACAUGCCAUAUGUUCUAAGUUUCAAGCUUUCAAAAUACCAAAAUAGUGUUCGGUAGUGUGAUGGAUUUUCUUGACGAUCCCCGAGCUCGUAACUAGCUUCCAAAAUCUAUAAAAAACCGAGUGAACACACAAAGUAAGGUUAAAAAGCUUAGUAAGUCAUAGAAAAUAAAUCAUUUUGAGAUUGUUAACAAUUCAAUUCAAAUAAGCCGAAUACCAACCAUUUCAAAUAUAUAUAUUUACUUACUACAUAGGCAUCAUACAUUGUCAUGUAAUUCAAUAUAGUCAUUUAAAUCAUACUCACUUUUCAUUUCUGAAUUAUAUUAACAAACCUAACGUACCUGAAUCGGAUACAUUUAUUGCAUAAUCAUUCAUUCCUCAAUAUUGCCCGUUGAACCAUUCGGAGUCAAUAAGGAUAUUAGAAUAACUUGGAAAGCUCGUACAAUGCCAACGUCCCUAAUGUGGUCUUACAUGUAAUCAAACAUCGAUGCCACUGUCCCAGACAUGGUCUUAUACGUAAAUCUCAAAUCAAUGCCAACGUCCCAGACGCUGUCUUACACGAUAACUCAUAUCAGAAUUUUAUGUCAUGACAUAUAUAUAUAUCCCCAUUAUUCCUAUGGUUCGUACAGGGCUUUCGGACAUCGAAAAUUCAUCGAUUCAAGCUCAUAAUCACUUCUCCCAUACUUAAAUCAAUUCGACAUACACAUAUAUAAUUACAAUAAUUCAAUUUGGAACAAUUAAAUACAUUUCUAUAUGGAUUUAACAAAAAUUAAUUACUAUGAACUUACCUCGGACGAAGACAAACGGAUGGAAUCGACUACUAGACCACUUUUGACUUUCCCUGUUCUAAUUCCGUUUUCUUUUGUUAUUGAUCUAAAUAAAUUCAAAUUUAGCUAUUUAAUAUCACAUUUUAUUCAAUUCAAGAAAUAAACUCAUAAUUAGGAUAAUUUACACUUUAGCCCCUGAAAUUUGCAUUUUUUCACAAUUUAGUCUUUAUUUCAUAAAAUUAUAAAUUCAUGAAAUUUAGAGACAACCCAUGCUAGCCGAAUUUUGUAUAGCUUCCUAGCAGCCCAUAUUUUCAUUUAUUUCACACUUUUAACCACUACGUUUCACAUUUUCUCAGUUUAAUCCCUAACUAAUAUUUUCAUCAAAAAUCACUUUACAAAACUUAGAUAUCUAUCACUAAGCUUUCAUAAUUCAUCAUCAAAUAUCCAAAAACACAUGCAUUCAUCAAUGACAACUUUCAAAAUAAUCAACACUUUCAAAAAUUAAAGCAUGGGUUAGCUAGAACACAAAGCAACGAUCACAAAAACGUAGAAAUUAUCAAAAACCGAAACAAAAACAUACCUUGAUUAAGCUUGAAUAAGGUCGAAUGAAUAAAAGCUUUAAAACCCUUAUUUUCUUUCUAGUUUCGGUGGAAGAACACUUGG
rnacentral:lncRNA from 1 species